CUAGUAGACUAGAUCUUCUUUGUGUACCAUGGGAAGCAUCAAAUAUGAAGGAAGGAAAUCAACUAGAGCAUAAGCUGUGUCAUUGUUGCUAUGCUGAAGAAUGAGUCUCUGUGCGGAUAUAUUACUGUGUGGAAGCUGUCAUUGAAUUUAUUACCUCAGACUGUGUCAAACUCUGCUCUGCAUGGAUUUAUGCAAUAUUGAUCUGUGCAUCCUGCUACGGGGUUUAAAGAAGGAUUCCACCGAGGAUCGUUGACGGGAUGUUGCUUCAUAACACCUCUGCUCUGAAUAAUGCCAAUAAAACGCCCAGAGGUGAUCAAUGGAGCUGCUGUCCAUCUCUCAUGGCAACCCCAGACGGGAAAAGGAACCGCCCAGCCCACUGGUGCCAGGGUGAUAUCAUCUGAUCAUCAACCUCAAACGUGGGCUCUGAGCCACACAGUGCAUUUUCACAUAGUGGAAGGUCCUCAUCCUUCACUUUCCCCCUUUUUUUUAUGCAAAUAUUGAUCCUGCAGAACAAGGGAAAUUAGCUUGUCAUAUAAAAUGGGAAGUUGUGGGCAUUGUUAAUAUCUGAGUGGGAG